rnacentral:lncRNA from 1 species
CUGGGAUGGGCAUUGUGAGGCAUUGGGGGUGCUGUGGGGCUGGACAUGGUGAGUCACUAGCCUGACCUGGCUGUUUCCUGGUAACCAGGUGACAUAGGAAGCUUUGUGGGUUAUAGGCAUUAGCCAGGCCAGCAGCCUUCAGUCGGUAGCUGGCAGUGGAGGGAGGAGGAGGAGCUCCGACUGUGCUCUUUGACGGCAGUUUUUGUGCCUCUUGGCGCUUGUCGUGUGUUUCUCUUUGAAGUAAAACAUCAGCUCCAACUGUGGCUGGCCCAGGGGGAAGGUGGCAUCCAGUUAUGAAUCUGAUAUUUAUGAGGCCGUGGCUGCUGCAACAUCAGAAUCCACUACUGUAGAGCCUGGCAAGCUGGAUGUGGGAGCCACGGAGGGCCAAGACCUGCAGCACAUCAGCAACCAAAAGAUGCCCACAGGUUCUGUUCCAUAUCUGGAGGAUUGUGCACUUGACAUUGUGGAGGACAUGUUACCUGAAAUGGUAAGAUGCAUUCCUUCAUCUGGAAGAGAAAUUUUUUUUUUCUGGGGCUUCUUUCCUUAUUAAUAAAAUGGAGAUAUAAAAAUCUGACCAUGUACAU